AAGACCAUACUUUCAGGGAUCAUCUCUACAGUCUGUUCCUAGAAAAGUUUCUCUCCACGUGUAGAAUGUCCAAAACCACAAGGAGGAGAUACAGUGUCCCUUCCCACUGGGUCUGGAUGUUGCUUCUCCAGCUGCCCUUUGCCACUGAUGAUCAUUUUUCUCCUCCUCUGGGGGAGUAAAAGGGAAGGGACACCCUUUGAGAGG
rnacentral:snoRNA from 1 species